AGACAUAGUAUGUAGAACAUUAUUGCUAGUUAUUUACUGAAAGGUGUUAAAUAAAUUACGUGUUUUGUUACUUUAGAUAAUUAUUAAUAAUAUAUAAAUAUGUGGGCCGGACCUGCGUAUGUUGAUGAUGGAGCUGGAGGUAUACAUAUUGUGGAUGGACAGCCAGUCCACGACGGUGGGUUCGGUGGGUCAAACAUCGUCCACGACGGUAUCAAUGUAGCUGAUGGCAAUUUCGGUGGAUCAACCUAGUCCACGAUGGAAUAAAUGUAGCCGAUGGCAAUUUCGGUGGAUCAAAUCUAGUCCACGGUGGGAUAAACGUAGCCGAUGGCAAUUUCGGUGGAUCAAACCUAGUCCACGGUGGGAUAAACGUAGCUGACGGGAACUUCGGUGGUUCAAACUUGGUAGAAGGAGGGGUCAAUGUUGUGGAUGGAGGUUUCGGUGGGGUUAAUAUAGUGGACAGUGGAUAUGGGGGGGUGAAU